rnacentral:rRNA from 1 species
UACGUAGGGCGCGAGCGUUGUCCGGAAUUAUUGGGCGUAAAGAGCUCGUAGGCGGUCCGGUAAGUCGGUUGUGAAAACUGGGGGCUCAACCCUCAGAGGCCGACCGAUACUGUCGGGCUAGAGUCCGGAAGAGGCGAGUGGAAUUCCUGGUGUAGCGGUGAAAUGCGCAGAUAUCAGGAGGAACACCAAUGGCGAAGGCAGCUCGCUGGGACGGUACUGACGCUGAGGCGCGAAAGCGUGGGAGCAAACAGG